GAGUUUGAUCCUGGCUCAGGACGAACGCUGGCGGCGUGCCUAACACAUGCAAGUCGAACGGAGAUUUCAGUAAUGUUAUCUUAGUGGCGAACGGGUGAGUAACGCGUAGACAACCUACCUUCUAGAUGGGGACAACACUGGGAAACUAGUGCUAAUACCGAAUGUUGUAUUGAUAUUGCAUAAUGUUAAUACUAAAGAUGGCCUCUAUUUAUAAGCUAUCACUAGAAGAUGGGUCUGCGUCUGAUUAGCUAGUUGGUGAGGUAAUGGCUCACCAAGGCGACGAUCAGUAGCCGGUCUGAGAGGAUGAACGGCCACACUGGGACUGAGACAC
rnacentral:rRNA from 1 species